rnacentral:tRNA from 1 species
GGGGAUUUAGCUCAGCGGCAUAAGCGCCUGCCUUGCAAGCAGGCAGUCGUGAGCUCGAUCUCCG